CUUAUAGUUUAAUUUAAAAUAUAAUAGUGAAAAUAUUAUGAUAUUUGUUUUGAGAAUA
rnacentral:tRNA from 1 species